UACGUAGGGUGCGAGCGUUAAUCGGAAUUACUGGGCGUAAAGCGUGCGCAGGCGGUUUUGUAAGCCAGAUGUGAAAUCCCCGGGCUUAACCUGGGAAUGGCACUUGGGACUGCAAGGCUUGAGUGCGGCAGAGGAGACUGGAAUUCCUGGUGUAGCAGUGAAAUGCGAAGAUAUCAGGAGGAAUACCGAUGGCGAAGGCAGGUCUCUGGGCUGACACUGACGCUCAUGCACGAAAGCGUGGGGAGCAAACAGG
rnacentral:rRNA from 1 species